GUCGCCGCUAAGAUGAUCCAUCAUUUCAGCACCAGCCGACUUAUUUGAUGAGGGUGAAGGAAGUGGACUUACUCGAGAUGAUUGACCAUUUGCCAGUUUCCUGUCCCUUUCAUAAACGUGAUCUCUCGUUGGCCUGCGAGAUAACGGAGUGAAGUCAUCUUCCGACUCAUCGUCCUCAAGGUUGAUAUAUGGAACCGAUGGAACGGGAGGUUCUGCUCUUCUAGCUUCCGUCACAAAGGUUCCUUUAGCAAUGUCAUCG
rnacentral:misc_RNA from 1 species